rnacentral:rRNA from 1 species
GACGAACCGUGCGAACGUUGUUCGGAUUCACUGGGCUUAAAGGGCGCGUAGGCGGCUUGCCAAGUCAGGGGUGAAAUCUUUCGGCUCAACCGGAAAAGUGCUUCUGAUACUGGCGGGCUGGAGGAGGGUAGGGGCGGAUGGAACUUCCGGUGGAGCGGUGAAAUGACGUAGAUAUCGGAAGGAACGCCGGUGGCGAAAGCGAAUCCGCUGGACCCUUUCGUGACGCUGAGGCGCGAAAGCCAGGGGAGCAAACGGG